rnacentral:lncRNA from 1 species
UCACCAUACCUUGUGAUACUAACAGAUCCUUCACCCUCCUCUGCCAUAGCCCGAAAUUUCCAGUUCCAUCGAACUUUAUCACAUCGAACUUUGCAGAAGACAUCCCUACAAUCUUAUCAUUUUGCAAAAUAAAUUAUAGAAAAUAGGAUCUGAUGAAAAUAAAAAAAUACCAGAAACGCCCCUCUUCUCCUAGGUCAAAACGCGCGCUAGCGACGGCAGAACUCCCCUCCUCGCGCGUCUACGGUGACGUACGGGUGGGCAAAGGCAGACGGCGGCGCGUGGCAAAGAUCCUUCUCCCUGGAUCUGAUGCGCGGCUUUGGUGGAGACGCGGCAGAGAUUUCUCCUCCUUUCUCCGGCCACAGACAGCGUCAGGGAGACGCUCUCCUCCUCCUUGCUCAGAUCGUGCGGCGGUUCCUCCAAAUCUGGCGCGGGCGGCGUGCGAACGGUGACGGGAGGACCGUGCACGUGGCCUCUUCUCCUCCGAACGGCGAUCCGAACGGG